AUGAUGAAAGUUUGCGAUUAUGUGUUGACUACAGGGCCCUGAACAACGUCACCGUAAGAAACAAAUAUCCCAUUCCUCUUAUAGUAGACUUGUUUGAUCAAUUGAGCCGGGCCAAGUACUUCUUCCAAAUUGGACCUGAGAUCUGGCUACCAUCAGGUCAAAAUCGUUGAGGGAGAUGAGCCAAAGACCACUUGUGUGACACGGUAUGGUGCAUUUGAAUUUCUUGUUAUGCCCUUUGGAUGGAUCAAUGCUCCUACCACAUUUUGUACAUUGAUGAAUCAGGUGUUCCAUGACUAUCUAGACAAAUUUGUAGUCAUCUAUUUAGAUGAUAUAGUGGUAUAUAGCUCCACCUUGGAAGAACAUCAAGAGCACCUACGCCAGGUACUUCAAAGAUUACAGACCACCAGUUAUACGUAAAAAAGGAAAAGUGUGCAUUUGCUUAGACCCAAAUCCAUUUUCUCGGUCACAUUGUCGAACGUGGCCACAUUCGAAUGGACAUGGAAAAGGUUAGGGCCACCAAGGAGUGGACAACACCGAAGAACGUUAGUGAACUCCAUUCAUUUUUGGGACUAGCCAAUUAUUAUAGAAGGUUUGUGGAAGGGUACUCUCGCAAGACCACGACCCUCACGGAGCUAUUGAAGAAGGAGCGUAAAUGGUGUUGGAUGAAUGAGUGCCAAGAGGCCUUUGAGGGAUUGAAGGAUGCUAUUAUGAAAGAUCCCAUCUUAGCUCUCCUUAAUAUUGAAAAGUCCCUUCAAAGUUCAGAUGGAUGCAUCUAAUUUUGCUAUUGGAGGAGUGCUUUUGCAACAACAUCACCCGAUAGCAUUUGAAAGUAGGAAGCUAAGUGAAGCUGAAAGGAAAUAUACGACCCAGGAAAAAGAACUCCUGGCGGUGGUUCACUGCUUAAGGGCUUGGCGACAUUACUUGUUGGGUUCACACUUUGUUGUGAAGACAGAGAAUACGGUCAUUAGACAUUUUCUCACCCAACCAAGGCUUACGGCAAAACAAGCUAGGUGGUAGGAAUUUUUAACGAAAUUCGACUUUUGUUUUGAGCACAUCACUGGAAAGACCAAUCAAGUGGCCGAUGCAUUGAGCAGGCGAGCAGAUUUAGUGGCCCUUAGAAGAAUUGCCCCAAUGGCAGCUAGCAGAGCCGCUACAGACAUUCACAAGUUGAUUGGAGAUCACUUAGGGAAGGACCCGUAAGCUUGUGCCAUCCUGAAGCUAGUGGAAGAAGUGAAACCCAAGUACUUCUGGCAAGAAAAUGGGGUCUUAUGGACUAAAGGGCCUCAAGUGUUUGUGCCAAUAGCAGAAGGUCUGAGAUAAAUGCUAAUGAGGGAAUGUCAUGACACACCAUGGGUGGGACACCCGGGUUGGCAACGCACUUUGGCGUUAUUGAAACAGGGAUACUAUUGGCCUUACAUGUGACAAGAUGUGAUAGACUAUACGAAGACUUACCUCAUUCGCCAACAAGACAAGGUUGAAAGGAGGAAACUUGUAGGCAUAGCACCGCACAUCACGUGGUGUUUGGUGCGACCCCAGUAGCCCUUGAAAAUCCAGAGGAUUGAGUGCCAUCUGUGAUCGACUGUACUCAUAACCGCAUCAGGUCUCCAAGGUGAAUAGCCUCUGGUUGAUGAAACAAUGUAGGUAAGGAAAGUCGACGAAAUAGAUCUGUAACCUCGAGAAAAGAUCGUCUCUAAGGGCUGGGCACGAGGUCCCAGUCUCGAACCCGUCAACUAUCGGUGGACUACUUGACCUACUCCCACGACGAGAGUGGGUCACCACGUGCCGACCGAAGGACGGACUGGGAACGGCUCCCUCGAGGGCCUUCACCUGAUGACAAACAGUUGACUUAGAACUAGUACGGACUAGGGGAAUCCAACUGUUUAUUUAAAACAAAGCAUUGCGAUGGUCCCUGCGGAUGCUCACGCAAUGUGAUUUCUACCCAGUGCUUUGAAUGUCAAAGUGAAGAAAUUCAACCAAGCGCGGGUAAACGACGGAAGUAACUAUGACUCUCUUAAGGUAGCCAAAAGCCUCAUCAUCUAAUUAGUGAUGUGCAUGAAUGGAUUAACGAGAUUCCCAUUGUCCCUGUCUACUAUCCAGUGAAACCAUAGCCAAGGGAACAGGCUUGGUAGAAUCAACAGGGAAAAAAGACCCUAUUGAGCUUGACUCUAGUCCAACUUUGUGAAAUGACUUGAGAGGUGUAGGAUAAGUGGGAGCCCCCGGGCAAAAUUGAAAUACCACUACUUUUAACGUUAUUUUACUUAUUCUGUGAAUCAGAGGCGGGGCACGACCCCUUCUUUUGGACCCAAAGUCAACCUCGACCGAUCAAUCUAGGUAGAAGACAUUGUCAGGUGGGGAGUUUGGCUGGGGUGGCACAUCUGUUAAAAGAUAAUGCAGGUGUCCUAAAAUGAGCUCAAUGAGAACAAAAAUCUCGUAUGGAGCAAAAGGGUGAAAGCUCAUUUGAUUCUGAUUUCCAGUACGAAUACGAACCAUGAAAGUGUGGCCUAUCGAUCCUUUAGACCUUUAGGAUUUGAAGCUAGAGGUGUCAGAAAAGUUACCACAGGGAUAACUGGCUUGUGGCAGCCAAGCGUUCAUAGCGACGUUACUUUUUGAUCCUUCGAUGUCGGCUCUUCCUAUCAUUGUGAAGCAGAAUUCACCAAGUGUUGGAUUGUUCACCCACCAAUAGGGAAUGUGAGUUGGGUUUAGAUCUUCGUGAGAUAGGUUAGUUUUACCAUACUAAUGGUGGCGUCGCGAUAGUAAUUCAACCUAGUACAAAAGGAACCGUUGAUUCGCACAAUUGGUCAUCGUGCUUGGUUGAAAAGCCAAUGGUGUGAAGCUACUGUGCGCUGGAUUAUGACUGAACGCCUCUAAGUCAGAAUCUAGGCUAGAAGUGAUACGUACGCACAAUUGGUCAUCGUGCUUGGUUGAAAAGCCAAUGGUGUGAAGCUACUGUGCGCUGGAUUAUGACUGAACGCCUCUAAGUCAGAAUCUAGGCUAGAAGUGAUGCGCACGCCCGCCACCCGAUUGUCGACCCGUAGUA
rnacentral:rRNA from 1 species